rnacentral:rRNA from 1 species
UACGAAGGGGGCUAGCGUUGCUCGGAAUCACUGGGCGUAAAGGGUGCGUAGGCGGGUCUUUAAGUCAGGGGUGAAAUCCUGGAGCUCAACUCCAGAACUGCCUUUGAUACUGAAAGUCUUGAGUAUGGGAGAGGUGAGUGGAACUGCGAGUGUAGAGGUGAAAUUCGUAGAUAUUCGCAAGAACACCAGUGGCGAAGGCGGCUCACUGGCCCAUAACUGACGCUGAGGCACGAAAGCGUGGGGAGCAAACAGG